ACCUCCAAGGACCAGCUGUAGGUCAUGGUGAUGGGCCACUGGGAUUGGCAGAAAGCUUUCUCUCCUUCUCUGAGGCUGGAGCAGCGUGGGGCCAAAGACCAUGGUGAGGUUGUGCAGGGACUUUUAUUGACUGCCUUUUUCUUACCACCCUGUGCAGGACCAAAGCAGAGGGUGCUAUUUCUAUGCCACCACCAGGAAAGAGGCAGAGGGGCUGGGCCAUGCUGGAGUCCUCUGGGAGGGAGCGACCUCGACCCUGGCUGUGCUGCAAGCUGAUUCCAGCCCUGGGGUCAGCAGCACCUGGAGAACAGCAGCAGGAGACGGCGUGAGAGCAGUGGCUCAUGGGCAGAGCUGCCAGUGGGAAACUGCAGCUGCCACCCCCUCCCAAGGGCAGCCCAGAGUAGUGGAGGCUCAGCAUAAAACUAAAAAGGGGAGUGAGGGACACAAGGAGGUGGGAGAUGGGUGGCUCCAGCCCCACAAACUAAGCAGAGACCCUCUCUUCACCCUAGACUCCGCAGGGGCACCUCAGGCUGGUCCUCUGGGCGUGGGCCCAGGAGGCAGGCCUGCCCUAAGGGUCAUGCAGAGGAUACAGGGCCACACACGCCAGUGCCCUGCUUAGACAUCAGCCUGCAGGUGGACUCGGGGUCAGGCCAGGUUUGAUCCUGUGCUUGACUGGGCCAGGACCCAUGGCUAGAGCACCUGGGGACCCUCGUUCAGCCCUGGUCUGCUGGAAGGGGGACAGCAGACUUUAGGACCCCACAGCACAGCAGUGAUGAGCAUUUUACUCUCUUGGUCUCCUUGAGGAAUAGGACAAGGAGUCCUCUGGGGACAGACGAGGACUUACACAACUGCCUCAGUUGUGGUCCCUGCUUUCUGAGCUUGGUUAAAACACUGGCCAUGGCAGAAAGGACACAGCUUGGGUUCUCACACCUCACUUUCCACAGCCCCUAACGGCAGCAGUGCACAUGGAGGAGAUGCCUCCUAUGACGCCAAGGCCUCCAGUGCUCACCAAUGCCUUCAUCCAAGUUGGGUAGAACUUGUCAGUGAAGAGGGGCUCAGGCAGCUCACGGAAGUAGAGCUUCAGCAUGUCUGCGAUGGCGUGUACAUCCAUCUCACUCAUCAUCAUCGACACAUCCCUGUUAUCUGGAAAGAACAUGGAAGUGCUGCAGCCUCCUUGAGGAUCCCAAAGAUGGAGUUUGCUGCAUUGUCCAGACUGAUCUUAAACACCUGGGUUCAGUUAUCCUGCCGCAAUCUCUCAAGGUGCUGGGACUACAGGCGUGAACCUCCACACCCAAACACUUGGGAUGGUUUUAAGCCCCCAGUAAGGUGCACCAGCAGGACCUCCCCAACACUCUCAUCCAUGCAGACCUAAUUUGUUUAUUGUUAUCUGAAAUUCAAAUUUAUUUAUGCAUCCUGUGUUGAUCUGGCAACCCUAUACUAUCUGUAACCCUGUAAUAGGCCCUCUCAGAGCACACU